rnacentral:lncRNA from 10 species
GAAAAACAGGUUUUUUUCUUUUCUUUUUAAGAGACAGGGCCUCGCUCUGUUGUCCAGGCUGGUGUGCAGUGGUGCAAUCAUAGCUCAUUGAAGCCUCAACCUCCAGGGCUCAAGUGAUUCUCCUGCUUCAGCCUCUCAAGUAGCUGGAAUUACAGGGUUCCCACCACCACAUUUGGCUAAUUUCUUUUAUUUUUUGUAUAGAUGGGGUCUUCUUAUGUUGACCAGGCUGGUCUCAAAUUCCUAGGCUCAAGUGAUUCUGCCCACCUCUGCCUCCCAAAGUGCUGGGAUUAUGGGCAUGAGCCAGCGCAUCUGGCCACCGUAUUUUCUAUUACUGGCUCAAUGUAAUGGCUCCAUCUCAGGAACAGCCAAUGAAAGAGAUGCACAGGACAAGAAACAGGACCUUGCCCUGUCACUCAGGAUGGAGUUCAGUGGUCCUAUCAUGGUUCAUUAUAGCCUCAAACUCCCAGGCUCAAGCAAUCCUACCAUGUCAGCCUUCCCAGUAGCUGGGACUACAGGUA